AUGGCCAUAUGAUGUGAAAACACCAGAUCACUGAAGUUAAGCAAUGUCAAGCCUGGUCAGUACCGAGAUGGGUGACUGUUUGGGAAUACCAGGUGCAGUAA